GAGAGAAGAAUGGUCCAGCAUCACAUCGGGAAUGUGAGAACCGGGCCAGAACUCCCUACGGAAGGCCAGCAGUUGGGAAAUAUGCACAAUUGGGCCAAGCCUGAUGCAGCCUGCCGCGUGUAUGAAGAAGGCCUUCGGUUGUAAAGUACUUUCAGCGGGGAGGAAAGGUUUAGGCUGAGAGGGUUGGACUUUUGACGUUACCCGCAGAAGAAGCACCGGCUUAACUCCCGUGCCAGCAGCCGCGGUAUACGGAGGUGCAAGCGUUAAUCGGAAAUGACUGGGCGUAAAGCGCACGCAGGCCGGUCAAUUAAGUUAGAUGUGAAAUCCCCGGGCUCAACCUGGGAAUGGCAUCUAAGACUGUUGACUGGAGUCUCGUAGAGGGGGGUAGAAUUCCAUGUGUAGCGGUGAAAUGCGUAGAGAUGUGGAGGAAUACCGGUGGCGAAGGCGGCCCCCUGGACGAAGACUGACGCUCAGGUGCGAAAGCGUGGGGAGCAAACAGGAUUAGAUACCCUGGUAGUCCACGCUGUAAACGAUGUCGAUUUGGAGGUUGCGGUCUUGAACGGUGGCUUCCGAAGCUAACGCGUUAAAUCGACCGCCUGGGGAGUACGGCCGCAAGGUUAAAACUCAAAUGAAUUGACGGGGGCCCGCACAAGCGGUGGAGCAUGUGGUUUAAUUCGAUGCAACGCGAAGAACCUUACCUACUCUUGACAUCCUCAGAAUUUGCUGGAGACAGCGAAGUGCCUUAGGGAACUGAGAGACAGGUGCUGCAUGGCUGUCGUCAGCUCGUGUUGUGAAAUGUUGGGUUAAGUCCCGCAACGAGCGCAACCCUUAUCCUUUGUUGCCAGCACGUGAAGGUGGGAACUCAAAGGAGACUGCCGGUGAUAAACCGGAGGAAGGUGGGGAUGACGUCAAGUCAUCAUGGCCCUUACGAGUAGGGCUACACACGUGCUACAAUGGCGGAUACAAAGUGAAGCGACCUCGCGAGAGCAAGCGGAACACACAAAGUCUGUCGUAGUCCGGAUUGGAGUCUGCAACUCGACUCCAUGAAGUCGGAAUCGCUAGUAAUCGUAGAUCAGCAUGCUACGGUGAAUACGUUCCCGGGCCUUGUACACACCGCCCGUCACACCAUGGGAGUGGGUUGCACCAGAAGUCGGUAGCUUAACCGAAAGGGGGGCGCUGACCACUUUGUGGCUCAUGACUGGGGUGAAGUCGAACUCGAGCUGCUAAC
rnacentral:rRNA from 1 species